rnacentral:lncRNA from 1 species
UGGCAAUCACACUUCCUUCCUGCCCCUCGCCGGUUUGCCGCCUUUAUUACCUUUGCCUGAAAAUUAAACAUAAGAAGGGUGAGUAUAAAAAUACCCAGUAAGAGACCCUCUACUGGUCCCGUCAGGGGAAAAAUAAAUUGUUAACAUUCUAUUGGGACACCCUGUACAGUCGCAGUCUUGUGAUCCCGUAGGAUGCACAUUUCAGUCUAACGCCCGAGGACGUACAUUUCAGUGUAGUGUUCUGCAGAAACACAUAUCAGUCUAAUGCUCCCGAAGGUGCAGAAUAAUUGGUGAUCCCGUGGGACACCUACAAGGCACACAUCCCAAUAAAAGCUAACAAUUUUUCCCCUCAAUCCAUUCGUACCAUCUUUCAGUUACUUCAAAAUAUAAAGUUCUUUCACUCAACGUUCUAACAGUCAACUUAUCUCACUUUAGCCCAAUGUCUGUCAGUAACAUACUAAUACGUCAGUCAAUCAAACUAUAUAGUCAUAACGCCUCUCAGUUCACCAGCACACAGUCAUACUUUAGUAUAACGUACACCCAGUCUAAACGACAAUCACAAGUUCACAUCCGCAUCUCAUACAAACACAAUCUACAAUUGUCGUCCUGUCUACAUCCACACACAUAUAUAUAUAUUCCAAGACAAUCACAAUAUGCAUUCAACAUCAAGUCUACUUCAAUCCAUGUGUAUAUAUAUAUUUUCAGUCAUCCACAGUAUACAUUCAACACCGAACCUACAUCCAUACGUAUAUAUAUAUUGUCUCAACACAUUUACUCAAUCAGAGGUGACUAACAUUACAAUUCAAAAGCAUAGGUGAGUCCAGUAGAAAAUAAAAUCCCUUACCUCACUUUUAUGCAAGUUCUUCAAUCUACUAAAUCCAAUGAAUCAAAUCCUAAACAUAAUCAAUCAUAAAAUCAACAUCUUUCUAAAUAGUUUCAACCAUUCAAAUUACCCCAUAUGUAAAUUCCACAACUUACCCAAGAAGUGGAAAAUCAAGUCCACUUCAACCUUUUGGAAAAUCAAGGAUUCGCUCACUGAAUCAAGAUGUACCUUCAAGAAUUAAGCAUUUCGCCAACAAUUAAAUCCAAUGGCAGCAUUCAACAAAAACCAAGAAACCAACAAAAACCAUAACUUGUUCUUACCCAAAUAUGAGCCCAAUGGUUCACGGCGAGGCAAAAAUGACAAUCAAGAACGAAUCAAGCGGCUGUAAAUAGAGCAACACUGAAUGCGACUCAACUGGAAAAGAAAAUCGGCUUCAAAUCGUAACUCCGUCUUACAACGAGCAGAAGAACGUCGACUUGAUAGGGGACACGUAAUUUAGGAAGAGAUCGACUUGGAUCCGUGUAUGACUUCACGAGAUGUAUGCGUCGACGGCUUCACGGAGGUGAAGACAGACGCGGUCGGAGAGUCACGCGGCAGUGCAGAAAACGGAGGAGAAAGGAACGGGCGGCGGCUGGCUUGGCUUCGACGGAGACAGAGAUUGCGCAGCAGGGCUUCACGAACGGAGAGGAAAGGAAUGGGCACGGCGAUGCAGAUCUGGACGACUGCUGCAAGGUGACGCGUACGGCACUUCACGAACCGGCCGACGGUUGCAGCGACGGAUCUGGGUUAUGGCGAACUGCAAGGGUGAAGCACAAGCGACGGCGAGGACCUGGACGGCUCGGCGAUGCAGAUCUGGAUGACGAUUUGCUUUCCGAGGGAGGCACGACGGUUGUGAGCGGAGAGGCACGGUGGUUGUGAGCGGAUGGGCGCGGCGGUUUCGAUCCGAAGGAGAAAAGGAAGACGACCGGAAAGAAGAAGAAGAAACGACCGGCAGCUUGUGUGGCCGACUGGGUGAACGGAGAAGAGAGGGAUGUGCGGCUGCUAGGGUACGGGAAGGAGAAAGGGAUGGAGGACGCACGGGAGGAAGAAGGAAGGAAAAAUUUCUUUUUUCUUUUCUUUUAUUUAAAUAAUAAAAAUAAAACUAAAAUAUAAAUAAAUAUAUAUAUAAUAAAUUUCUUUUUCUUUUCUUUUAUUUAAACUAAAUAAUAAAACUAAAAUAUAAAUAUAUAUAUAUAAUUAUAUUAUCACAUUUUCAAAUCUUCUUUCCCCCUUCAACAUAUUUUCUUCAAAACAAUAAAUCUUGUACAAAUCGAAAAAAUCUCUUAAAAUAAAAUACCUUCGAGUUUGGGGCGUUACAUUCUUCCUCCUUAAGGCGAAAGUUCUAAUCCUAAAUAACUCUUGAUAACGAGUCCUCAUCUCUUCUUCUCGCUCCCAUGUCGCCUCUUCAAUUCGAUGAUUCCGCCACAAAACCUUUACUAAUGGAAUGCUUCUAUUACGAAGCAUCUUUACCUCUCUAGCGAAUCUCCACAGGUUGUUCUACAUAGCUCAAAUGCUCAUCAAUCUCCAAGGUUCAUAGUCCACGACAUGAGAUGUAUCGGCCACAUACUUCCUCAACAUCGAAACAUGGAAAACAUUAUGGACUGCAGAGAGUGAUGGUGGUAAUGCCAAGCGAUACGCCACAACACCAACCCUCUCUAAGAUCUCAAAUGGUCCAACAAAACGAGGACUUAACUUCCCUUUCUUCUCAAAACGCAUAACACCCUUCAUAGGUGCUACCUUCAAGAAUACCUUUUCUCCCACAUCAAACUUAAGGUCUUUUCGCCGUACAUCUGCAUAACUCUUUUGUCUACUCUGCGCUGUUUGCAUACGUGCUCUAAUCUUUUGAAUAGCCUCAUUAGUAGACCGAACUAAUUUAGGUCCCAUCAACCUCUGUUCACCAACCUCACUCCAACAAAUAGGGGUUCUACAACAUUUACCAUACAAAGCCUCAAAUGGUGCCAUACCGAUGGUAGCCUGGAAACUGUUGUUAUAAGCAAACUCCAUCAAAUGUAGAUGAGAGUCCCAACUACCUGGAAACUCUAGAACACAAGCUCGUAGCAUAUCCUCUAAAACUUGGUUCAAACGUUCAGUUUGACCAUCAGUUUGUGGAUGAAAGGCUGUACUGAAAUCUAAUCUCGUACCCAUAGCAGUCUGAAGUCCCUUCCAAAACUUGGAAGUAAACCGUGCAUCCCUGUCAGAAACAAUCGAUACAGGCACUCCAUGCAGUCUCACAACCUCAGUUAAAUACAACUGUGCCCACUUACUAGCAGUAUAAGUGGAUUUCCCUGGUACAAAAUGUGCGAUUUCGUAAGCCUGUCUACAACAACCAAAAUCACUGUGAAACCCUUCAGGGUCUUAGGCAGCCCUGAAAUAAAAUCCAUCGACACAUUCUCCCACUUCCACUCUGGCACACUUAAAGGUUGUAACAAACCUGCUGGUUUCUGUCUAGGUGCCUUAACCUGCUGACAUACUAGACACUUACUAACGAAUUCCGCCACUUCCCUUUUCAUAUUCCGCCACCAAUAAAAUCGUUUUAGAUCCUGAUACAUUUUCGUACUACCAGGAUGCAUGGAAAAUGAAGAAUUAUGGGCUUCAUCUAGUAAGUCAAUCUUAGCUGCACUGUUCGCUGGCACACACAAACGUCUCUCAAACAUCAAUCCACCAUCAGAGGAUAUGGAGAACUCAUCAGUCUGCUCUGUUCCAACAAGGCGACGUCUCUCCAUCAAAUAAGGAUCAUUACUCUGAGCAUCAACAAUCUUCUGCCUCAGAGUCAGUUGCACCGUUAAUUGAGCUAACUGUGAGGUGACUCUCCCCACAGAUACUACAAUCUCAGCUCUCUCCAAGUCUCGAUGUAAUGGUACCUGUCUAGUAAUGAGUGCUGCCGAAUGUGAUACUUUUCUACUAAGAGCAUCAGCCACCACAUUCGCCUUACCAGGAUGGUACAAUAUCUCACAGUCAUAAUCCUUUACCAACUCGAGCCACCUUCGCUGUCUCAUAUUCAACUCCUUCUGAGUGAAGAAGUACUUCAGGCUCUUAUGGUCAGUAAAGAUUUGUAUCUUUUCACCGUACAAAUAAUGUCUCCAUAUCUUCAAUGCAAAAACCACUGCUGCCAACUCCAAAUCAUGUGUGGGGUAGUUCUGCUCGUGACUCUUCAACUGACGAGAGGCAUAAGCAACCACCUUACCUUUCUGCAUCAAAACACAACCCAGUCCUUUCUUGGAAGCAUCACUGUAAAUCACAAAACUUCCGGAUCCAUCUGGUACUGUAAGGACCGGUGCAGUAACUAACCUUUGCUUAAGGUUCUGAAAACUAUCCUCGCAAGCUGGACUCCAAACAAACGGAGUUCCCUUCCUUGUCAACUGAGUCAAGGGAGUAGCCAAACGUGAAAAAUCCUCCACAAACCUCCGGUAGUACCCUGCUAAACCCAGAAAACUACGAACCUCACUAACUGUAGAGGGUCGAGACCAACUGGUAACCGCUUCUAUCUUUGCAGGGUCUACAGAAACUCCCUCACUGGAAACCACAUGACCAAGAAAAGCCACCUGCUUCAACCAAAAUUCGCACUUAGAGAAUUUAGCAUAAAGUUUAUUGACUCGAAGAGUCUCUAACACUUUAUGUAAGUGUUCCUCAUGUUCGGCCUCAGUCUUGGAAUAAACCAAAAUAUCAUCAAUGAAGACUAUCACAAAAGUGUCUAAGAAAUCCUUAAACACCCUGUUCAUCAAAUCCAUAAAUACUGCAGGUGCAUUAGUCAAACCAAAAGACAUUACCAUGAAUUCAUAAUGUCCGUACCUCGAACGAAAAGCAGUCUUAGGAAUAUCACGGUCUCUAAUCCUCAACUGGUGAUAACCUGACCGUAAGUCAAUCUUAGAGAACACCGUGGCUCCCUGUAACUGAUCGAACAAAUCAUCGAUUCUAGGUAAAGGAUAUCUGUUCUUGAUUGUUACUUUAUUCAACUCUCUAUAGUCAAUGCAAAGACGCAUCGACCCAUCCUUCUUCUUCACAAACAAUACUGGUGCACCCCAAGGCGACACACUAGGUCGAAUAAAGCCUUUGUCAAGCAACUCCUGUAACUGUACCUUCAGUUAUUUCAACUCGACAGGAGCCAUCCUAUAAGGGGCUCUAGAAAUGGGAGUAGUGUCUGGCUCCAACUCAAUGGCAAAAUCAAUCUCUCUAUGUGGCGGUAGUCCUGGAAGAUCUUCUGGAAACACAUUGGGUAUUCUCUUACCACAGGUUCUGAAGUUAAGGAAGUCUCAUCUUCCCUAGUAUCCACCACACUUGCCAAAAUACUCCAGGUACCCUGGUUGAGCAGUUUACUAGCUUUCAUAGCUGAGAUUACUUUAGGCAGUACUACUGUUCCUACCCCUUGAAUUUAAAGCUAGAUUCGGUAGGGGGACUGAACACAACCUCUUUACGAGAGCAAUCAAUACUAGCAUGAUUAGUAGCUAGCCAAUCCAUACCUAAAAUUACAUCAAAGUCACGCAUAUCUAAUACCAACAAGGUUACGUCCAGCACACGACCAGCUAUCUCAAUUUCACAUGCUUUAAUCUUUUCCUUAGACAACAUAAUUUCUCCAGACGGUGUAGACACUGACAAAACAUAAUCUAAGGGUUCCACCUCUAAGCAUGCAUGCGUCACAAAAAGCGAUGAAAUAAAUGAAUGAGAAGACCCCGAGUCAAACAAGGUCAAGGCAAAAUGCCCUAACACUGGUAAUGUACCUGUCACCACUGUGCAGGCCUUCUCUGCUUAUGAUCUAUUAGUGGCAAAGAUUGUACCCCGCUGUGGAGGUUUCGCUCCCUGACUGCUCUGUCCAGCCCCAGUAGAUCUCAAGGGACAUCGAUCAGCCAUGUGUCCCUCUUGCUUGCACUUAUAACAGACUCUCGUUCCCAUCAAACAACGACCCAGGUGGUGUUUCCCACACGUAUUGCAUAGUGGCUUCUCUCGAGUAGUGUCUCCUGCCCCGCCAGAACUCUGCUGGAAACUGCAAAAAGGAUCGCCUAAUCUCAAGUUCCUCUGAGGAAUUCCCACAGUUCUCUGCUCUGCUUUCCUCUUUUGACCAGACGACGAUCCCUUAUCAAAACUCCUUGCCCGAAUUUCAUCCUUCCCAAUGCUCAUAUCCACUGCCAGGCGCAGCGCUUCAGCCUGGGUAGUGGGCUUUAGUGCUCGCACAAAGCCUCUAAUCUCAUCUCUCAAUCCUUUGACGAACCUAUCAGCUCUAGCCUGCUCAUUACCAACAAGUUCAGGGGCAAAACGCGACAGCAUAUCAAACUCCUGGUCGUACUCCUCGACUGUCAUAUGUCCUUGCUUCAAUUCCAAGAAUUCCUGGCUUUUGGCGUCUCUAAGGUUAGCCGAGAAAAACUUGGUAUAGAAGCAGUCUUUAAACUGAUCCCAGGUAAUCUGUCUCACAUCUCCACCUAGCAUACGCAUCGUAGUUCUCCACCAGAUAAUACCUCUGUCCCUCAGAAGAAAAGCAGCACACUGAACUCUAUGCUCCUCUGGACAUCUCAUGUAAUUAAAUAUGGUUUCCACAGAGGACAACCACAACUCAGCUUUAGUAGGAUCCUCCAGUGACCCAUCAAACGUCUGAGGGUCAUAUUUCCUAAAGUCCCUCAAAUGUUUCGCCUCAGCAGAAAGUUGGUUCGGUAAUGUCUGCGGCUGUUGUGCAGCCAAUCCUUGCGCAGGAGGGGCUGCUGGUGCAGGUGGAGCUGCUGGUACAGGGGGAACCACAGGUGCAGGUGGAACUGCAGGUGCCUGCUGGUUCUGAGCUAUAGCCGUCAUAAGCUCCGUGAACCUCUGCUCCAUGUGAGCAGACAGUGCAGCAAACUCAACAUGAGUCACGGGUGCAGUAGGAAUUCGCUAUUCAGCUUGACCCUCAGUAGGUUGAUUACGACCUGCUCCUCUACCCCAGCCUCUACGACCUCUCUACGUACACCUCUCUUUGGCGGCAUAAUUCCUAUUAUCCACCAACAACACUCUUUAAAAAGUCUUAAUCAUAAGCAUAAGAGUCUUUAUCGUCAUGCAAUCUAGUUUAAUUUAGGCAAACUCAUGCAAAUAAACCAUACAUAUAAGCAUAAAGAUACCUGACGAGAGACGAAGGGUCGCGUUAGCCAUAGGGACAUAAAACAUAGACUUACAUCGUAAGUCAGUCUACAGAACCUAAAACUUAGGCUCUGAUACCAACUGUAACGACCCAACUUUUCUAGGUAAGUCGAGGUCGUUAAUUUUUGACAAAAGACUUUGGUUGAUACAAAAUGAAAUGUAAGCCAAUUGAAAAACAACUUUAAGUCAGGCCUGAUUUUCAAAUAUUCCAAAAACUUAAAAAAAGUAUUUUACAAAUAAAAGUUUGUAAGCUAAGUUUCAAUACAACGUCUUAAACCUAAAAAAAAACAAUAAGCGGAAGCAAAAUAACACAUUUCCUAUGGCAAUCACGCUUCCUUCCUGCCCCUCGCCGGUUUGCCGCCUUUAUUACCUUUGCUGAAAAUUAAACAUAAGAAGGGUGAGUAUAAAAAUACCCAGUAAGAGACCCUCUACUGGUCCCGUCAGGGAAAAAUAAAUUGUUAACAUUCUAUUGGGACACCCUGUACAGUCGCAGUCUUGUGAUCCCGUAGGAUGCACAUUUCAGUCUAACGCCUCGAGGGACGUACAUUUCAGUGUAGUGUUCUGCAGAAACACAUAUCAGUCUAAUGCUCCCGAAGGUGCAGAAUAAUUGGUGAUCCCGUGGGACACCUACAAAGCACACAUCCCAAUAAAAGCUAACAAUUUUUCCCCUCAAUCCAUUCGUACCAUCUUUCAGUUACUUCAAAAUAUAAAGUUCUUUCACUCAACGUUCUAACAGUCAACUUAUCUCACUUUAGCCCAAUGUCUGUCAGUAACAUACUAAUACGUCAGUCAAUCAAACUAUAUAGUCAUAACGCCUCUCAGUUCACCAGCACACAGUCAUACUUUAGUAUAACGUACACCCAGUCUAAACGACAAUCACAAGUUCACAUCCGCAUCUCAUACAAACACAAUCUACAAUUGUCGUCCUGUCUACAUCCACACACAUAUAUAUAUAUUCCAAGACAAUCACAAUAUGCAUUCAACAUCAAGUCUACUUCAAUCCAUGUGUA